rnacentral:rRNA from 1 species
AGAUAAUAGAUACCCUGGUAGUCCACGCCGUAAACGAUGGAUGCUAGCUGUUAUCAGUAUCGACCCUGGUAGUAGCGAAGCUAACGCGUUAAGCAUCCCGCCUGUGGAGUACGGUCGCAAGACUAAAACAUAAAGGAAUUGACGGGGACCCGCACAAGCGGUGGAGCGUGUUGUUUAAUUCGAUGGUAAGCGAAGAACCUUACCAGGGUUUGACAUCCUAGGAAUUUCUCCGAAAGGAGAGAGUGCCUUCGGGAACCUAGUGACAGGUGUUGCAUGGCCGUCGUCAGCUCGUGUCGUGAGAUGUUUGGUUAAGUCCAUCAACGAGCGCAACCCUUAUAGUUAGUUGGAUUUCUCUAGCUAGACUGCCCCGGCAACGGGGAGGAAGGAGGGGAUGAUGUCAGGUCAGUAUUACCCUUACACCCUGGGCUACAAACACGCUACAAUGGCCGGUACAGAGGGCAGCUAAGUCGCGAGGCGGAGCAAAUCCCAUCAAAGCCGGUCUCAGUUCGGAUUGCAGGCUGAAACUCGCCUGC